CCUACGGGCUGCACCAGUGGGGAAUAUUGCACAAUGGGCGCAAGCCUGAUGCAGCCAUGCCGCGUGUAUGAAGAAGGCCCUAGGGUUGUAAAGUACUUUCAGUCGGGAGGAAGGCGUUGAUGCUAAUAUCAUCAACGAUUGACGUUACCGACAGAAGAAGCACCGGCUAACUCCGAGCCAGCAGCCGCGGUAAUACGGAGGGUGCAAGCGUUAAUCGGAAUUACUGGGCGUAAAGCGCACGCAGGCGGUUGAUUAAGUUAGAUGUGAAGUCCCCGGGCUUAACCUGGGAAUGGCAUCUAAGACUGGUCAGCUAGAGUCUUGUAGAGGGGGGUAGAAUUCCAUGUGUAGCGGUGAAAUGCGUAGAGAUGUGGAGGAAUACCGGUGGCGAAGGCGGCCCCCUGGACAAAGACUGACGCUCAGGUGCGAAAGCGUGGGGAGCAAACAGGGUUAGAUACCCGCGUAGUC
rnacentral:rRNA from 1 species